rnacentral:rRNA from 1 species
GAUGAACGCUGGCGGCGUGCCUAAUACAUGCAAGUCGAGCGAACGGACGAGAAGCUUGCUUCUCUGAUGUUAGCGGCGGACGGGUGAGUAACACGUGGAUAACCUACCUAUAAGACUGGGAUAACUUCGGGAAACCGGAGCUAAUACCGGAUAAUAUUUUGAACCGCAUGGUUCAAAAGUGAAAGACGGUCUUGCUGUCACUUAUAGAUGGAUCCGCGCUGCAUUAGCUAGUUGGUAAGGUAACGGCUUACCAAGGCAACGAUGCAUAGCCGACCUGAGAGGGUGAUCGGCCACACUGGAACUGAGACACGGUCCAUGCUCCUACGGGAGGCAGCAGUAGGGAAUCUUCCGCAAUGGGCGGAAGCCUGACGGAGCAACGCCGCGUGAGGUAUGAAGGUCUUCGGUUCGUAAAACUCUGUUAUUAGGGAAAAACAUAUGUGUAAGUAACUGUGCACAUCUUGACGGUACCUAAUCAGAAAGCCACGGCUAACUACGUG